rnacentral:rRNA from 1 species
UACGUAGGGGGCAAGCGUUGUCCGGAAUUAUUGGGCGUAAAGAGCGUGUAGGCGGCCAGGUAGGUCUGGUGUGAAAACUCGAGGCUUAACCUCGAGAUGUCAUCGGAAACCAUUUGGCUAGAGUCCGGAAGAGGAGAGUGGAAUUCCUGGUGUAGCGGUGAAAUGCGCAGAUAUCAGGAAGAACACCCGUGGCGAAGGCGGCUCUCUGGGACGGUACUGACGCUGAGACGCGAAAGCGUGGGGAGCGAACAGG